GUGAGGAAUAUUGCGCAAUGGAGGCAACUCUGACGCAGCCAUGCCGCGUGCAGGAAGAAGGCGCUACGCGUUGUAAACUGCUUUUAACCGGGAAGAAACCCCAGGACGUGUCCUGGGUUGACGGUACCGGAGGAAUAAGCACCGGCUAACUUCGUGCCAGCAGCCGCGGUAAUACGAAGGGUGCAAGCGUUAUCCGGAUUCAUUGGGUUUAAAGGGUGCGUAGGCGGAGCGUUAAGUCAGUGGUGAAAUCCUGCAGCUUAACUGUAGACUUGCCAUUGGUACUGGCGCUCUUGAGUGCGCUUGAAGUGGGCGGAAUGUGCCGUGUAGCGGUGAAAUGCUUAGGUAUGGCACAGAACACCAAUUGCGAAGGCAGCUCACUAAGGCGAUACUGACGCUGAGGCACGAAAGCGUGGGGAUCGAACAGGAUUAGAAACCCGUGUAGUCC
rnacentral:rRNA from 1 species